GACGAACGCUGGCGGCGUGCUUAACACAUGCAAGUCGCACGAAGUGGCGAACGGGUGAGUAACGCGUAAUCAACCUGCCCUUCAGAGGGGGACAACAGUUGGCAAAGACUGCUACUACCGCAUAAUGAAGGAGGGGAUUGCGUCUGAUUAUCUAGUUGGAGGGGUACCGGCCCACCAAGUCGAUGAUCAGUAGCCGGUCGGAGAGUAUGAACGGCCACAUUUGGACGGAGACACGGCCCAGACUCCUACGGGAGGCAGCAGUGGGGACUCUUCCGAAAUGGACGAAAGUCUGACGGAGCAACGCGGCGUGAGUGAGGACGGCCUUCGGGUUGUAAAGCUCUGUUAAUCGGGACGCGGUACCGGAAUAGAGAGCCACGGCUAACUACGUGCCAGCAGCCGCGGUAAUAC
rnacentral:rRNA from 1 species